rnacentral:lncRNA from 1 species
UGAAGAAAGACGUUUUAAUUAGUUUUCUUAGCAUUUGGUUGAGAGACUCUCUCUCUCUCUCAGUAAGUGAGUGAGUGAUCCUUUAUUACUUUUUCGCAAUGUGUUAUGACUUUAUAUUGUUAUAUAAGAUGAGGCUUUGGAUUGGUCAAAAUGAAAGACGUACGGAUAUUUUCUCUCUUUCCCCCUCUCUUUCUUUCUCUCUUUAUAUCUAUAUUUAUUACUAUUCCAUUCCAUCAUCUUCAACAACAACAAAAAAUGAAGGAAUGGGUAGUAGAAGGGAGAAAAUCGAUAAACAAUGGUGGCGAGUAAAGAGUAGGGGGGCAGAGAGAGAAAGAGAGAGGACUCACGCCGUAGUAAUAGCACCUUUAAUACAUAGUGAAAGCCUUAGAAAGUCCACCUUUAAAGAAUAGGGAAAAGGAGGAGAGCCAUUUUAAGAGACAGCCAUUGGACCAAUCCCAAGUGAGAGAUGAAGGAGUGGGGAAAUAACAACAACAACAACAAUAAGAAGAAUAAAAACAACAACAUAUCUACAUACGCACAUAUGUUGUAUGUAAAUUUAUGUACGUAGAUUGUAAAGAGAGGGAAAAUCCUUCUCUGACGAAGGAAGAUAAGAAAAUAUAUAAAAUAACCCCCUCUG